GGGCCGGCUUAUACUGCAGUCGAGCGAGCUUGCCUAGAUGAUUUUAGUGCUUGCACUAAAUGAAACUAGAUACAAGCGAGCGGCGGACGGGUGAGUAACACGUGGGUAACCUGCCCAAGAGACUGGGAUAACACCUGGAAACAGAUGCUAAUACCGGAUAACAACACUAGACGCAUGUCUAGAGUUUGAAAGAUGGUUCUGCUAUCACUCUUGGAUGGACCUGCGGUGCAUUAGCUAGUUGGUAAGGUAACGGCUUACCAAGGCAAUGAUGCAUAGCCGAGUUGAGAGACUGAUCGGCCACAUUGGGACUGAGACACGGCCCAAACUCCUACGGGAGGCAGCAGUAGGGAAUCUUCCACAAUGGACGAAAGUCUGAUGGAGCAACGCCGCGUGAGUGAAGAAGGGUUUCGGCUCGUAAAGCUCUGUUGGUAGUGAAGAAAGAUAGAGGUAGUAACUGGCCUUUAUUUGACGGUAAUUACUUAGAAAGUCACGGCUAACUACGUGCCAGCAGCCGCGGUAAUACGUAGGUGGCAAGCGUUGUCCGGAUUUAUUGGGCGUAAAGCGAGUGCAGGCGGUUCAAUAAGUCUGAUGUGAAAGCCUUCGGCUCAACCGGAGAAUUGCAUCAGAAACUGUUGAACUUGAGUGCAGAAGAGGAGAGUGGAACUCCAUGUGUAGCGGUGGAAUGCGUAGAUAUAUGGAAGAACACCAGUGGCGAAGGCGGCUCUCUGGUCUGCAACUGACGCUGAGGCUCGAAAGCAUGGGUAGCGAACAGGAUUAGAUACCCUGGUAGUCCAUGCCGU
rnacentral:rRNA from 1 species